GAUGAACGCUGGCGGCGUGCCUAAUACAUGCAAGUCGAGCGAACAGAUGAGGAGCUUGCUCCUCUGACGUUAGCGGCGGACGGGUGAGUAACACGUGGAUAACCUACCUAUAAGACUGGGAUAACUUCGGGAAACCGGAGCUAAUACCGGAUAAUAUAUUGAACCGCAUGGUUCAAUAGUGAAAGACGGUUUUGCUGUCACUUAUAGAUGGAUCCGCGCCGCAUUAGCUAGUUGGUAAGGUAACGGCUUACCAAGGCAACGAUGCGUAGCCGACCUGAGAGGGUGAACCGGCCCACUGGAACUGAGACACGGGCCAGACUCCCUCGGGAGGCAGCAGUAGGGAAUCUUCCGCAAUGGGCGAAAGCCUGACGGAGCAACGCCGCGUGAGUGAUGAAGGUCUUCGGAUCGUAAAACUCUGUUAUUAGGGAAGAACAAAUGUGUAAGUAACUAUGCACGUCUUGACGGUACCUAAUCAGAAAGCCACGGCUAACUACGUG
rnacentral:rRNA from 1 species